GGCUUCGUAGCUCAGCUGGUAGAGAGCUUGCAGAGUUUGCGCAUCGUGUUUCUGUCGCUGGUUCGAAUCCAGCCGGAGCCU